rnacentral:rRNA from 1 species
UACGGAGGAUGCGAGCGUUAUCCGGAUUUAUUGGGUUUAAAGGGUGCGCAGGCGGGCUGUUAAGCCGGCGGUAAAAAUUCAGGGCUCAACCCUGUCGAGCCGUCGGAACUGGCAGUCUUGAGUGGGCGAGAAGUAUGCGGAAUGCGUGGUGUAGCGGUGAAAUGCAUAGAUAUCACGCAGAACGCCGAUUGCGAAGGCAGCAUACCGGCGCCCGACUGACGCUGAGGCACGAAAGCGUGGGGAUCGAACAG